UGGGGAAUUUUGGACAAUGGGCGCAAGCCUGAUCCAGCCAUGCCGCGUGUGUGAAGAAGGCCUUCGGGUUGUAAAGCACUUUCGGCCGGAACGAAAUCGCCUCCGUUAAUAGCGGGGGUGGAUGACGGUACCGGAAGAAGAAGCACCGGCUAACUACGUGCCAGCAGCCGCGGUAAUACGUAGGGUGCGAGCGUUAAUCGGAAUUACUGGGCGUAAAGCGCGCGUAGGUGGUUUAUUAAGUUAGAUGUGAAAUACCUGGGCUUAACCUGGGUUGGUCAUCUAAUACUGGUAAGCUAGAGUACAGGAGAGGGAAGUGGAAUUUCCGGUGUAGCGGUGAAAUGCGUAGAUAUCUGGAGGAACACCGGUGGCGAAGGCGACAUCCUGGACCAAUUCUGACGCUGAGGAGCGAAAGCCAGGGGAGCAAACGGGAUUAGAUACCCCCGUAGUCCCUGAGCGGGCUGGCAAGGCGCAU
rnacentral:rRNA from 1 species